rnacentral:rRNA from 1 species
CCUACAUGAAGCUGGAAUUGCUAGUAAUCACAGGUCAGCAUACUGUGGUGAAUACGUUCCCGGGCCUUGUACACACCGCCCGCCACACCAUGAGAGUUGAGAAUACCCGAAGCCCAUGUCAAAGUGGUCGAAGGUAGGCUUGAUGAUUGGGGUGAAGUCGUAACAAGGUAGC